rnacentral:rRNA from 1 species
UGGGGAAUAUUGCACAAUGGGCGCAAGCCUGAUGCAGCCAUGCCGCGUGUGUGAAGAAGGCCUUCGGGUUGUAAAGCACUUUCAGCGAGGAGGAAGGUGGUGAGCUUAAUACGCUCAUCAAUUGACGUUACUCGCAGAAGAAGCACCGGCUAACUCCGUGCCAGCAGCCGCGGUAAUACGGAGGGUGCAAGCGUUAAUCGGAAUUACUGGGCGUAAAGCGCACGCAGGCGGUUUGUUAAGUCAGAUGUGAAAUCCCCGGGCUCAACCUGGGAACUGCAUUUGAAACUGGCAAGCUAGAGUCUCGUAGAGGGGGGUAGAAUUCCAGGUGUAGCGGUGAAAUGCGUAGAGAUCUGGAGGAAUACCGGUGGCGAAGGCGGCCCCCUGGACGAAGACUGCACGCAUGCGAAGGCUGCGAAAGUCGGGUGGGCAGCAAAACAGGAUUAGAUACCCUGGUAGUCCACGCUGUAAACGAUGUCGAUUUGGAGGUUGUGCCCUUGAGGCGUGGCUUCCGGAGCUAACGCGUUAAAUCGACCGCC